UACAGAGGUGCGAGCGUUGUCCGGAAUCACUGGGCGUAAGGCGCGUAGGCGGCCUGAUAAGUAGGGGUGAAAUCCUGUGGCUCAACUGCAGGCUGCCUCCUAGACUGUCGGGCUUGAGCACGGUAGAGGCAGAUGGAAUUCCCGGGUGUAGCGGUGGAAUGCGUAGAGAUCGGGAAGAACUCGGUGGCGAAGGCGGUCUGCUGGGCCGUUGCUG
rnacentral:rRNA from 1 species